rnacentral:rRNA from 1 species
UCAAAGCUUGCUUUGAUGGAUGGCGACCGGCGCACGGGUGAGUAACACGUAUCCACCCUGCCGACAACACUGGGAUAGCCUUUCGAAAGUAAGACUAAUACCCAAUGAUAUCUCUAGAAGACAUCUGAAAGAGAUUAAAGAUUUAUCGGUGAUGGAUGGGGAUGCGUCUGAUUAGCUUGUUGGCGGGGUAACGGCCCACCAAGGCGACGAUCAGUAGGGGUUCUGAGAGGAAGGUCCCCCACAUUAGAACUGAGACACGGUCCAAACUCCUACGGGAGGCAGCAGUGAGGAAUAUUGGUCAAUGGACGAGAGUCUGAACCAGCCAAGUAGCGUGCAGGAUGACGGCCCUAUGGGUUGUAAACUGCUUUUAUAAGGGAAUAAAGUGGGAGUCGUGACUCUUUUUGCAUGUACCUUAUGAAUAAGGACCGGCUAAUUCCGUGCCAGCAGCCGCGGUAAUACGGAAGGUCCGGGCGUUAUCCGGAUUUAUUGGGUUUAAAGGGAGCGUAGGCCGGAGAUUAAGCGUGUUGUGAAAUGUAGAUGCUCAACAUCUGAACUGCAGCGCGAACUGGUUUCCUUGAGUACGCACAAAGUGGGCGGAAUUCGUGGUGUAGCGGUGAAAUGCUUAGAUAUCACGAAGAACUCCGAUUG